rnacentral:rRNA from 1 species
AGAGUUUGAUCCUGGCUCAGAACGAACGCUGGCGGCAUGCCUAACACAUGCAAGUCGAACGAGACCUUCGGGUCUAGUGGCGCACGGGUGCGUAACGCGUGGGAAUCUACCCUUGGGUUCGGAAUAACAGUUAGAAAUGACUGCUAAUACCGGAUGAUGACGAAAGUCCAAAGAUUUAUCGCCCAAGGAUGAGCCCGCGUAAGAUUAGCUUGUUGGUGGGGUAAUGGCCUACCAAGGCGACGAUCUUUAGCUGGUCUGAGAGGAUGAUCAGCCACACUGGGACUGAGACACGGCCCAGACUCCUACGGGAGGCAGCAGUGGGGAAUAUUGGACAAUGGGCGAAAGCCUGAUCCAGCAAUGCCGCGUGAGUGAUGAAGGCCUUAGGGUUGUAAAGCUCUUUUACCAGGGAUGAUAAUGACAGUACCUGAGA